rnacentral:rRNA from 1 species
CUAUGCGCCUUGCCAGCCCGCUCAGGUGUGCCAGCCGCCGCGGUAAUACGUAGGUGGCAAGCGUUGUCCGGAUUUACUGGGUGUAAAGGGCGUGUAGCCGGGUUGACAAGUCAGAUGUGAAAUCCUGCGGCUUAACCGCAGAACUGCAUUUGAAACUGUUGAUCUUGAGUACUGGAGAGGCAGACGGAAUUCCUAGUGUAGCGGUGAAAUGCGUAGAUAUUAGGAGGAACACCAGUGGCGAAGGCGGUCUGCUGGACAGCAACUGACGGUGAGGCGCGAAAGCGUGGGGAGCAAACAGG